rnacentral:rRNA from 1 species
AUUGAACGCUGGCGGCAGGCCUAACACAUGCAAGUCGAACGAGUGGCGGACGGGUGAGUCAUGUCUGGGAAACUGCCUGAAGGAGGGGGAUAACUACUGGAAACGGUAGCUAAUACCGCAUACCAUCGGAUGUGCCCAGAUGGGAUGAGACAGUAGGUGGGGUAAAGCGUAACCUAGGCGACUAUCCUUAGCUGGUCUGAGAGGAGGACCAGGCACACUGGAACUGAGACACGGUCCAGACUCGUACGGGAGGCAGCAGUGGGGAAUAUUUGACAAUGGGCGCAAGCCUGAUGCAGCCAUGCCGCGUGUAUGAAGAAGGCCUUCGGGUUGUAAAGUACUUUCAGCGGGGAGGCGUUACCCGCAGAAGAAGCACCGGCUAACUCCGUGCCAGCCGCCGCGGUGAUAC